rnacentral:rRNA from 1 species
UACGGAGGGUGCAAGCGUUAUCCGGAUUCACUGGGUUUAAAGGGUGCGUAGGAGGGUAGGUAAGUCAGUGGUGAAAUCUUCGAGCUUAACUCGGAAACUGCCGUUGAUACUAUCUAUCUUGAAAUACCGUGGAGGUGAGCGGAAUAUGUCAUGUAGCGGUGAAAAUGCUUAGAUAUGACAUAGAACACCAAUUGCGAAGGCAGCUCGCUACACGAAUAUUGACUCUGAGGCACGAAAAGCGUGGGGGAUCAAAACAGGAUU